rnacentral:tRNA from 1 species
CGCGGGAUAGAGCAGCUAGGUAGCUCGUCGGGCUCAUAACCCGAAGGUCGUCGGUUCAAAUCCGGCUCCCGCAACCA